rnacentral:rRNA from 1 species
CCUACGGGAGGCAGCAGUGGGGAAUAUUGGACAAUGGGCGAAAGCCUGAUCCAGCAAUGCCGCGUGAGUGAUGAAGGCCUUAGGGUCGUAAAGCUCUUUUACCAGGGAUGAUAAUGACAGUACCUGGAGAAUAAGCUCCGGCUAACUCCGUGCCAGCAGCCGCGGUAAUACGGAGGGAGCUAGCGUUGUUCGGAAUUACUGGGCGUAAAGCGUGCGUAGGCGGUUAUUCAAGUCAGAGGUGAAAGCCCGGGGCUCAACCCCGGAACGGCCUUUGAAACUAGAUAACUAGAAUCUUGGAGAGGUCAGUGGAAUUCCGAGUGUAGAGGUGAAAUUCGUAGAUAUUCGGAAGAACACCAGUGGCGAAGGCGACUGACUGGACAAGUAUUGACGCUGAGGUACGAAAGCGUGGGGAGCAAACAGGAUUAGAUACCCUGGUAGUCCACGCCGUAAACGAUGAUAACUAGCUGUCCGGACACUUGGUGUUUGGGUGGCGCAGCUAACGCAUUAAGUUAUCCGCCUGGGGAGUACGGUCGCAAGAUUAAAACUCAAAGGAAUUGACGGCUGAGAGUUGCGAGAGACACGAGGAGAG